ensembl:snoRNA LOC120101278 small nucleolar RNA SNORA48
CCCCACAGGCAAUGGGCAAAGAGACACUUGGUUAGUGGUGGCAUUUUUGUGUCAGUCAGGGGCAGAGCAGAUGCCAGUCCUUUGUUCGUCCUAGCUUGAUGCUUGGCGUGGUGGCCAACGCUGUUUACUCCUAAGAGACAUAA